rnacentral:piRNA from 1 species
UGGCUUAGUUCCUCUGGUGCCAUGGUU